CCCUUAGAUGUUCUGGGCUGCACGCGCGCUACACUGAUGCGCUCAACGAGUUUACGAACUUGCCCGGAAGGGUUGGUUAAUCUUUUUAAAACGCAUCGUGAUGGGGAUAGAUUAUUGCAAUUAUUAAUCUUCAACGAGGAAUUCCUAGUAAGCGCGAGUCAUCAGCUCGCACUGAUUACGUCCCUGCCCUUUGUACACACCGCCCGUCGCUCCUACCGAUUGAAUGGUCCGGUGAAAUCUCGGGACGGCGGCUUGGUCGCUUGCGUCCGACUGCUGAAACUUGAUUAAACCAUAUCAUUUAGAGGAAGGUGAANUCGUAACA
rnacentral:rRNA from 1 species